GUUAGGAAUAUUGGACAAUGGGCGCAAGCCUGAUCCUGCCAUGCCGCGUGAGUGAUGAAGGCCUUCGGGUUGUAAAGCUCUUUAGUCCACGAAUAUAAUGACUGUAGUGGAAGAAUAAGCCCCGGCUAACUUCGUGCCAGCAGCCGCGGUAAUACGAAGGGGGCGAGCGUUAUUCGGAAUCACUGGGCGUAAAGCGUGCGUAGGCUGUUUUGUAAGUCAGAAGUGAAAGCCCAGGGCUUAACCCUGGAAUUGCUUUUGAAACUACAAGACUCGAAUUCGGGAGAGGAUAGCGGAAUUGUCAGUGUAGCAGUGAAAUGCGUAGAUAUUGACAGGAACACCAGUGGCGCAAGCGGCUAUCUGGACCGAUAUUGACGCUGAGGCACGAAAGCGUGGGGAGCAAACAGGAUUAGAUACCCCAGUAGUCC
rnacentral:rRNA from 1 species